GGAGGCGUACCGAAGUGGUCGUAACGGGGUGCUCUCGAAAAGCAUUUGUCGGGUGACCGGCACGUGGGUUCGAAUCCCACCGCCUCCACCA
rnacentral:tRNA from 1 species